GCUGGCGUAGCUCAAUUGGCAGAGCACCUGAUUUGUAAUCAGGAUGUUGCGGGUUCAAGUCCCAUCGCCAGCUCCA
rnacentral:tRNA from 5 species